GAUGAACGCUGGCGGCGUGCCUAAUACAUGCAAGUCGAGCGAACAGACGCGGCGCUUGCUUCUCUGAUGUUAGCGGCGGACGGGUGAGUAACACGUGGAUAACCUACCUAUCAGACUGGUAUAACUUCGGGACACCGGCGCUAAUACCGUAUAAUAUUUUGAACCGCAUGGGUCAAAAGUGAAAGACGGUCUUGCUGUCACUUAUAGAUGGAUCCCCGCUGCAUUAGCUGGUUGGUAAGGUACAGGCUUACCAAGGCAACGAGGCCUAGCCGAACUGAGGGGGUGAUCGGCCACAUUGGAGCUGAGACACGCUCCAGGCUCCUACGGUACGCAGCAGUAGGGAAUCUUCCGCAAUGGUCGAAAGCCUGACGGAGCAGCGCCGCGUGAGUGAUGGAGGUCUUCGGAUCGUAAAACUCUGUUAUUAGUGAUGAACAGAUGUGGAAGUAACUGUGCACAUCGUGACGGUACCUAAUCAGAAAGCCACGGCUAACUACGUG
rnacentral:rRNA from 1 species